UACGUAGGGGGCUAGCGUUGUCCGGAUUUAUUGGGCGUAAAGAGCGUGUAGGCGGCCUGGUAGGUCUGCUGUGAAAACUCGAGGCUCAACCUCGAGAUGUCGGCGGAAACCAUCUGGCUAGAGUCCGGAAGAGGAGAGUGGAAUUCCUGGUGUAGCGGUGAAAUGCGCAGAUAUCAGGAAGAACACCUAUGGCGAAGGCAGCUCUCUGGGACGGUACUGACGCUGAGACGCGAAAGCGUGGGGAGUGAACAGG
rnacentral:rRNA from 1 species